UACGUAGGGGGCAAGCGUUGUCCGGAAUCAUUGGGCGUAAAGAGCGUGUAGGCGGCUCUGCAAGUCGGAUGUGAAAGCCCUCGGCUCAACCGAGGAAGUGCACCCGAAACUGCAGAGCUAGAGUCUCGGAGAGGAUCGUGGAAUUCUCGGUGUAGAGGUGAAAUUCGUAGAUAUCGAGAGGAACACCGGUGGCGAAGGCGGCGAUCUGGACGAUGACUGACGCUGAGACGCGAAAGCGUGGGGAGCAAACAGG
rnacentral:rRNA from 1 species